rnacentral:rRNA from 1 species
ACGGGGGGUGCAAGCGUUAUUCGGAAUCAUUGGGCGUAAAGAGCGCGUAGGCGGUCUUCUAUGUCAGGUGUGAAAGCCCGGGGCUCAACCCCGGAAGUGCACUUGAAACUGGGAGACUUGAGUAUGGGAGAGGGAAGUGGAAUUCCUGGUGUAGCGGUGAAAUGCGUAGAUAUCAGGAGGAACACCGGUGGCGAAGGCGACUUCCUGGACCAAUACUGACGCUGAGGCGCGAAGGCGUGGGGAGCAAACAGG